GACGAACGCUGGCGGCGUGCCUAACACAUGCAAAGUCGAACGGGGUGAUCCUUCGGGGUCACUUAGUGGCGAACGGGUGAGUAACGCGUGAGAAACCUGCCUCUCAGUGGGGGACAACAGUUGGAAACGACUGCUAAUACCGCAUAAUGUAUCCGGAGGGCAUCCCCUGGAUACCAAAGCUUUAUGUGCUGAGAGAUGGUCUCGCGUCUGAUUAGCUAGUUGGCGGGGUAAACGGCCCACCAAGGCGACGAUCAGUAGCCGGUCUGAGAGGAUGAACGGCCACAUUGGGACUGAGAUACGGCCCAGACUCCUACGGGAGCAGCAGUGGGGAAUAUUGGGCAAUGGGCGAAAGCCUGACCCAGC
rnacentral:rRNA from 1 species